UACGAAGGGGGCUAGCGUUGCUCGGAAUCACUGGGCGUAAAGGGUGCGUAGGCGGGUCGUUAAGUCAGGGGUGAAAUCCUGGAGCUCAACUCCAGAACUGCCUUUGAUACUGAAGAUCUUGAGUUCGGGAGAGGUGAGUGGAACUGCGAGUGUAGAGGUGAAAUUCGUAGAUAUUCGCAAGAACACCAGUGGCGAAGGCGGCUCACUGGCUCGAUACUGACGCUGAGGUGCGAAAGCGUGGGGAGCAAACAGG
rnacentral:rRNA from 1 species